rnacentral:rRNA from 1 species
AUCAUGGCUCAGGAUGAACGCUGGCGGCGUGCCUAAUACAUGCAAGUCGAGCGAGAACUUGAUGAUGGAAGAUUCGUCUGAAAGAUCAAGGGAAAGCGGCGGACGGGUGAGUAACGCGUAGGCAACCUGCCCUUAGCAGAGGGAUAGCCAUUGGAAACGAUGAUUAAAACCUCAUAACGCUUGAGAGACACAUGUCUUUCGAGCCAAAGAUUUAUCGGCUAAGGAUGGGCCUGCGUCUGAUUAACUGGUUGGUGAGGUAACGGCUCACCAAGGUGACGAUCAGUAGCCGAACUGAGAGGUUGAUCGGCCACAUUGGGACUGAGACACGGCCCAGACUCCUACGGGAGGCAGCAGUGGGGAAUAUUGGGCAAUGGGCGAAAGCCUGACCCAAGCAACGCCGCGUGAAGGAUGAAGGUCUUCGGAUUGUAAACUUCUUUGAUCAGGGACGAAACAAAUGACGGUACCUGAAGAACAAGCCACGGCUAACUACGUGCCAGCAGCCGC